GGGGGAUAACUACUGGAAACGGUAGCUAAUACCGCAUAACGUCGCAAGACCAAAGAGGGGGACCUUCGGGCCUCUUGCCAUCGGAUGUGCCCAGAUGGGAUUAGCUAGUAGGUGGGGUAACGGCUCACCUAGGCGACGAUCCCUAGCUGGUCUGAGAGGAUGACCAGCCACACUGGAACUGAGACACGGUCCAGACUCCUACGGGAGGCAGCAGUGGGGAAUAUUGCACAAUGGGCGCAAGCCUGAUGCAGCCAUGCCGCGUGUAUGAAGAAGGCCUUCGGGUUGUAAAGUACUUUCAGCGGGGAGGAAGGGAGUAAAGUUAAUACCUUUGCUCAUUGACGUUACCCGCAGAAGAAGCACCGGCUAACUCCGUGCCAGCAGCCGCGGUAAUACGGAGGGUGCAAGCGUUAAUCGGAAUUACUGGGCGUAAAGCGCACGCAGGCGGUUUGUUAAGUCAGAUGUGAAAUCCCCGGGCUCAACCUGGGAACUGCAUCUGAUACUGGCAAGCUUGAGUC
rnacentral:rRNA from 1 species